rnacentral:rRNA from 1 species
AGCGAACGCUGGCGGCAGGCCUAACACAUGCAAGUCGAACGAACUCUUCGGAGUUAGUGGCGGACGGGUGCGUAACACGUGGGAACGUGCCUUUUGGUUCGGAAUAACUCAGGGAAACUUGUGCUAAUACCGAAUGUGCCCUUCGGGGGAAAGAUUUAUCGCCAUUAGAGCGGCCCGCGUCUGAUUAGCUAGUUGGUGAGGUAACGGCUCACCAAGGCGACGAUCAGUAGCUGGUCUGAGAUGAUGACCAGCCACACUGGGACUGAGACACGGCCCAGACUCCUACGGGAAGCAGCAGUGGGGAAUCUUGCGCAAUGGGCGAAAGCCUGACGCAGCCAUGCCGCGUGAAUGAUGAAGGUCUUAGGAUUGUAAAAUUCUUUCACCGGGGACGAUAAUGACGGUACCCGGAGAAGAAGCCCCGGCUAACUUCGUG